rnacentral:rRNA from 1 species
AACGCUAGCUACAGGCUUAACACAUGCAAGUCGAGGGGCAUCAGGAAGAAAGCUUGCUUUCUUUGCUGGCGACCGGCGCACGGGUGAGUAACACGUAUCCAACCUGCCCUUUACUCGGGGAUAGCCUUUCGAAAGAAAGAUUAAUACCCGAUGGCAUAAUGAUUCCGCAUGGUUUCAUUAUUAAAGGAUUCCGGUAAAGGAUGGGGAUGCGUUCCAUUAGGUUGUUGGUGAGGUAACGGCUCACCAAGCCUUCGAUGGAUAGGGGUUCUGAGAGGAAGGUCCCCCACAUUGGAACUGAGACACGGUCCAAACUCCUACGGGAGGCAGCAGUGAGGAAUAUUGGUCAAUGGGCGCUAGCCUGAACCAGCCAAGUAGCGUGAAGGAUGAAGGCUCUAUGGGUCGUAAACUUCUUUUAUAUAAGAAUAAAGUGCAGUAUGUAUACUGUUUUGUAUGUAUUAUAUGAAUAAGGAUCGGCUAACUCCGUGCCAGCGGCCGCGGUAAUACGGAGGAUCCGAGCGUUAUCCGGAUUUAUUGGGUUUAAAGGGAGCGUAGGUGGACUGGUAAGUCAGUUGUGAAAGUUUGCGGCUCAACCGUAAAAUUGCAGUUGAUACUGUCAGUCUUGAGUACAGUAGAGGUGGGCGGAAUUCGUGGUGUAGCGGUGAAAUGCUUAGAUAUCACGAAGAACUCCGAUUGCGAAGGCAGCUCACUGGACUGCAACUGACACUGAUGCUCGAAAGUGUGGGUAUCAAACAGGAUUAGAUACCCUGGUAGUCCACACAGUAAACGAUGAAUACUCGCUGUUUGCGAUAUACAGUAAGCGGCCAAGCGAAAGCAUUAAGUAUUCCACCUGGGGAGUACGCCGGCAACGGUGAAACUCAAAGGAAUUGACGGGGGCCCGCACAAGCGGAGGAACAUGUGGUUUAAUUCGAUGAUACGCGAGGAACCUUACCCGGGCUUAAAUUGCAGUGGAAUGAUGUGGAAACAUGUCAGUGAGCAAUCACCGCUGUGAAGGUGCUGCAUGGUUGUCGUCAGCUCGUGCCGUGAGGUGUCGGCUUAAGUGCCAUAACGAGCGCAACCCUUAUCUUUAGUUACUAACAGGUUAUGCUGAGGACUCUAGAGAGACUGCCGUCGUAAGAUGUGAGGAAGGUGGGGAUGACGUCAAAUCAGCACGGCCCUUACGUCCGGGGCUACACACGUGUUACAAUGGGGGGUACAGAAGGCAGCUAGCGGGUGACCGUAUGCUAAUCCCAAAAGCCUCUCUCAGUUCGGAUCGAAGUCUGCAACCCGACUUCGUGAAGCUGGAUUCGCUAGUAAUCGCGCAUCAGCCACGGCGCGGUGAAUACGUUCCCGGGCCUUGUACACACCGCCCGUCAAGCCAUGGGAGCCGGGGGUACCUGAAGUACGUAACCGCAAGGAUCGUCCUAGGGUAAAACUGGUGACUGGGGC